rnacentral:rRNA from 1 species
AUUGAACGCUGGCGGCAGGCCUAACACAUGCAAGUCGAACGAGUGGCGGACGGGUGAGUAAUGUCUGGGAAACUGCCUGAUGGAGGGGGAUAACUACUGGAAACGGUAGCUAAUACCGCAUACCAUCAGAUGUGCCCAGAUGGGAUUAUCUAGUUGGUGGGGUAACGGCUCACCAAGGCGACGAUCCCUCGCUGGUCUGAGAGUAGGACCAGCUACACUGGAACUGAGACGCGUUCCAGCCUCCUAAGGGAGGCAGCAUUGGGUAAUAUUGUACAAUGGGCGAAAGCUUGAUGCAGCCAUGCAGCGUGUAUGAAGAAGUCCUGCGGGUUGUAAAGUACUUUCAGCGGGGAGGCGUUACCCGCAGAAGAAGCACCGGCUAAGUCCGUGCCAGCAGCCGCGGUAAUAC